rnacentral:misc_RNA from 1 species
CGCACAUUGCGCCCGCCAGUAUUCUGGCGGGCAUGCCUGUUCGAGCGUCAUUUCAACCCUCGGAUCCCUGAUUUCAGGGAGCCGGUGUUGGGGCUCGGGCCGCCCUCGUGGCAGCCCGUCCCCUAAAUUCAGUGGCGGUCUCGCUGCAGCCUCCCCUGCGUAGUAGCACACCUCGCAGUACGGAGCGCGGCCUGGCCACGCCGUAAAACCCCCAAUUUUACCAAGGUUGACCUCGGAUCAGGUAGGAAUACCCGCUGAACUUAA